UGGGGAAUUUUGGACAAUGGGCGCAAGCCUGAUCCAGCAAUGCCGCGUGCAGGAUGAAGGCCUUCGGGUUGUAAACUGCUUUUGUACGGAACGAAAAGCCUCUCUCUAAUACAGGGGGGUGAUGACGGUACCGUAAGAAUAAGCACCGGCUAACUACGUGCCAGCAGCCGCGGUAAUACGUAGGGUGCAAGCGUUAAUCGGAAUUACUGGGCGUAAAGCGUGCGCAGGCGGUUUUGUAAGACAGUGGUGAAAUCCCCGGGCUCAACCUGGGAACUGCCAUUGUGACUGCAAGGCUGGAGUGCGGCAGAGGGGGGAUGGAAUUCCGCGUGUAGCAGUGAAAUGCGUAGAUAUGCGGAGGAACACCGAUGGCGAAGGCAAUCCCCUGGGCCUGCACUGACGCUCAUGCACGAAAGCGUGGGGAGCAAACAAGAUUAGAUACCCU
rnacentral:rRNA from 1 species